AGAAUCAACGCUGGCGGCGUGCCUAACACAUGCAAGUCGAACGAGAAAGGGGAGCAAUCCCUGAGUAAAGUGGCGCACGGGUGAGUAACACGUGACUAACCUACCCUGGAGUGGGGGAUAACUGAGGGAAACCUUAGCUAAUACCGCAUAACACCUACGGGUCAAAGGAGCAAUUCGCUUUGGGAGGGGGUCGCGGCCGAUUAGUUAGUUGGCGGGGUAAUGGCCCACCGAAGACAGUGAUCGGUAU
rnacentral:rRNA from 1 species